AGGGUCAAGUUACAAAGGGCGUAUGGUGGAUGCCUAGGCACUUAGAGCCGAAGAAGGACGCAGCGAGCGGCGAAACGCUCCGGGGAGUCGCAAGCAGACGUAGAUCCGGAGAUCUCCGAAUGGGGAAACCCGCUUAAGGUAAUACUUAAGCAUCCCAUGGUGAACACAUAGCCAUGAGGAGGGGACACCGCGUGAACUGAAACAUCUAAGUAGCGCGAGGAGAAGAAAGAAAAAGUCGAUUUCCUAAGUAGCGGCGAGCGAAAAGGAAGGAGCCCAAACCAUCACCAUAGGUGAUGGGGUUUAGGACCACGAUAAGGUAUAUGGAGUGAAGCCGAACAGACCUGGGAAGGCAGGCCAAAGAAGGUGAAAGCCCUGUAGGCGUAAGCGAAAAUAUACCGAGUGGGAUCCAGAGUACCACAGGAUAGGCAACCCGGUGGGAAGACGGGAGGACCAUCUCCCAAGGCUAAAUACUCCUAAGUGACCGAUAGCGCA
rnacentral:rRNA from 1 species